rnacentral:rRNA from 1 species
AACGAACGCUGGCGGCGUGGCUUAACAGCAUGCAAGUCGAGCGCGAAAGGGGGGGCAACUCCCCCGAGUAGAGCGGCGCACGGGUGAGUAACGGCGUGGUAACCUACCCCACGGCGGGGAUAACUACUCGAAAGGGUGGCUAAUACCGCAUGAGACCACGGGGUCUUCGGAUCCUGAGGCCAAAGGCCGCUCCGGCUUGCCGGGGGCGGUCACCGGGGGAUGGGCCCGCGUCCGAUUAGCUAGUUGGUGAGGUAACGGCUCACCAAGGCUACGAUCGGUAGCUGGUCUGAGAGGAUGAUCAGCCACACUGGAACUGGAACACGGUCCAGACUCCUACGGGAGGCAGCAGUGAGGAAUAUUGCGCAAUGGGGGGAAACCCUGACGCAGCAACGCCGCGUGGGUGAAGAAGGCCUUCGGGUCGUAAAGCCCUUUCGGACGGGACGAACGCUCCGCGGUGACAACCCGCGGAGCCUGACGGUACCGUAAGAAGAAGCACCGGCUAACUCCGUGCCAGCAGCCGCGGUAA